rnacentral:rRNA from 1 species
UUUCCAGAGAUGGAUUGGUGCCCUUCGGGGAAACUCUGAGACAGGUGCUGCAUGGCUGUCGUCAGCUCGUGUUGUGAAAUGUUGGGUUAAGUCCCGCAACGAGCGCAACCCUUAUCCUUUGUUGCCAGCGGUCCGGCCGGGAACUCAAAGGAGACUGCCAGUGAUAAACUGGAGGAAGGUGGGGAUGACGUCAAGUCAUCAUGGCCCUUACGAGUAGGGCUACACACGUGCUACAAUGGCGCAUACAAAGAGAAGCGACCUCGCGAGAGCAAGCGGACCUCAUAAAGUGCGUCGUAGUCCGGAUUGGAGUCUGCAACUCGACUCCAUGAAGUCGGAAUCGCUAGUAAUCGUGGAUCAGAAUGCCACGGUGAAUACGUUCCCGGGCCUUGUACACACCGCCCGUCACACCAUGGGAGUGGGUUGCAAAAGAAGUAGGUAGCUUAACCUUCGGGAGGGCGCUUACCACUUUGUGAUUCAUGACUGGGGUGAAGUCGUAACAAGGUAAGCGUAGUGCU